GCAAACGCGAUGAACAGAAGUAGUAAGGAUAUUCCGGGAUGAUAGAGAGCUGCGGGUUGGUGCAACGCAGUCGAAGGAACCUGAAACUCGUCUGGAAGCGGAGCAGUGGAACACGGCGCAUGAUUUUGUCCGCCGGACCGGUAGUGCACACCGGGAAAGUACAUGGCUACGGUUAGCUCCGUGAGAAGGCAUGCAGCUUUGCCAAACACUGAAGAUUCAGUGAAGAGGUGAGCAGCUAUUGAGGGGUUUUCUUAUAUUCCAGUAGUUCUAGGAAUGGGAAAGCAACAAGAGUGGUACCGCGAAGGUUAACAGCCUGUCGUCUCUUGC
rnacentral:ncRNA from 1 species